GCCGCCUUAGCUCAGUUGGUAGAGCUGGUGACUUUUAAUCACUAGGUCGGGGGUUCGAGUCCCUCAGGCGGUA
rnacentral:tRNA from 1 species